CCAGGACAUUUUGUGGCAAGCAGAGCCUGGAGAGAAUUGCUGCCAGGGAACAUGUCUUCUGCCGCACGACCACGUGCAGCUCCUUCAUCUCCAGCAUGCCAGAGAUCAGCCUUCCCACAUAAACCCAGCAAGACCCUGCCAUGGCACCUGAAAACACAAAAAAAAUUAGUGACCCAAGGCUGGUGGCAUUUUCAGGCUGGACCUGUCUAAGGCUGUUGGCCAAAGCCACUUACGCUGCUGUUAAUAACCCACCCGUGUUACAAAGCAGCACCAGAAGACACCAACCAAAGACGAGGUGAUCUGCUAAAACAGCCUGUAGAGUCUUCUGACCUCUUUCCCACAGCCUCACAGCAUCUAAGCCCACACAUCCAGCUGGGAACUUGAUAACGUUCUCCUCCUGUUAUUCCUUCCAUGUUUUCUCUUCCCAAACCCAGGAUGUGGACAGGUAAACCUUUCAGAGCUCCCUUUCCCCACCGUGCAUCAUUGUUCCUCCCCCAUCUUUUCCCGAAUGCCGGAUACGGCAUGUCCUAACCAGCCCCUGGCAUUCCAUGGGAGUGGAAGCCAGGCUGCCUACCCUUCUGCAGGCCAAAUGCACAUUUAUACUCACAAGUAAGUCUUUUCCCAACCCUUUUCACGUAGGAUUAUCGGUCUAUGACACAAUGCAGUCUGGAUUUCCAUGAGAACAUGGGGAGACACGUGCUGAUUCUCAAAGAGAGUUAGUUUGUUCCUACUGGGAAAUGCUGCCUCUCUGGAGGACCUUUCUGGUACAUCCCAAAUGAACGUCCAUGGUGUUCCCUGUCCUGUGGGCAGUCUUCACGUAGCUAAAAGCACUUUGAGAGGGGUGGAGAAGGAAUGAGCAUGUGUGCCAGCCACAGACCCAGCACACUCAACAGCCACUGACUCAUAAAUGUGCGCUUUCACGAGCCCAUGGGUUGCUCUGCCUAUUCCAAAGCCAUUAGCAACAUGUGGCCUUGAAAAUAUGCACCUGGACGGGACCCUGAAACGUCAUGUCAUCCAUCCCGCUCCCCGAGGCAGGAGCAACUCUCCCUACAGCAUUCCUGAGCGGUAUUCUGUCCAACCUGUUCUUAAAACCUCCAACAGGGGAGACUCCAGAGCGUCCCAAAGCUUUUCCAGUAUUAUCACAACCUACCAUUAUGAAAUUUUCUUGGUGGAUCAUCUAAAAUCUACCUUCGAAUGUGAAAGGAAGCGACCUUCCUCCUGCGGAGAUGCUGGGUCACUGUGGGUUAUACCAGGCCUGCCAGGGUGGCACGGUCCCAGGUCUCUGGGCUUGUGGCCCUGCUCCAAAACUGCUGAUUAGCACAAGGGAAUUCCACUGCCGUUACAGUCCGCAUCAGCUGCCUCCACACGUCUGCCUCCGUUGGCAAGACCUUCCUUCGUCUCCAUGGAGCAGCAAACCCCAGCCAAAACACCUUCACGGCUCUGCAGGGAAAGCUACAUUCAUCUCAGCAAGUCAUCAUCUGGCCCAGAUCCACAUUUCAUACCUACAGGAGGCCGACGACAGAAAUCCAGGGCAUCCCAAACUCAAGAGUGGUUGAGUCUCCGGGCUGAGAUGACAUUCACGCCGUCAUCAGAUGAAGUUAUUUCGGCAUUUUCUGUAUUUGCCUGACUCUCAGUAAAUUUGCAGAGUGCUGUGAGCUGGCAGGAACGUAGGACGCAUCCCCUUUUACAGGGACUGGUACUGCAUGCUUCGAGGGAACCUGUAAAAUCCCAGCAGUAGAUAUUACUAUAACGACAAAAAAAUUUAUCAUUUUGAGUACAAUGACAUACCCACGGAAGAGGUUUCUACCAGGCACAGAUGGUAGGCUGAUGUCCUGAAAUGAAACAAAUCGCAUACGUUUUACGCCAAGAAAAAUAAAACUACGAUUACUCUAAUAUAAAAGUUUAUUGAA